GGAAAUUAGAGCCCGAAACAGACAGAUUAGAAGGGAAAAAGCCCAUUUUUCCAUCAUUUUCAAUAGCAGCUCAGUUCCCAGUGACCCCAGGGACUGAGGGCCAGCACCAGGCUGCCCAUCUACGGCUCCCAGCAAAAGCUCCCCUGCAGCCAGCACCUGGUUCAGCACACGCCGAAACUCCCAGCGAAACAACCCACGACGCCAACCAACCCACGUCCCUCUAACUCCUCUCUUGCAGCCCAGGGGGGACCAGACACCGGCUGAAGUGCUGGUGCAGAACAGAAAUUUGCCUGUUUUUAAGGCUGAGCCCUGCGGGGUGGCCGGCAGCCCCACAGCGAUGCCCCCACAAAGCCAUCACGCAUCCCGCGGGCACAGGGCGAUCAGGCGUCCUGCUCCCGGCAGCGGGGUUCACGCACCCUCUGCAGCUUUCCCAU
rnacentral:lncRNA from 1 species